rnacentral:rRNA from 1 species
GACAGAGGUUGCAAGCGUUGUUCGGAAUUACUGGGCAUAAAGCGCACGUAGGCGGUCCGCUAAGUCAUGUGUGAAAUCCCCCGGCUCAACCGGGGAAUGGCGCCUGAUACUGGCGGACUCGAGAUCGGUAGGGGUGAGUGGAACUCCAGGUGGAGCGGUGAAAUGCGUAGAUAUCUGGAGGAACACCGGUGGCGAAAGCGACUCACUGGACCGACACUGACGCUGAGGUGCGAAAGCUAGGGUAGCAAACGGG